AUGCAAACCAACAAUGUUGUCAGAGUGAAGUUCAAAGACAGCAAGAGAUAUAUUUUUUCUUCAAAACCUUUUACAUUUCAAUCAUUUUUGGAAUGUGUUGCCAAGAAAUUUGAUCUUCCUACAUUGGAUGUUAAAGUCUUUGAUGACUCGAAGACAGAAGUUGAUGAGGAAGCAUUCGUAUAUCUGCUGACACGACCAGAUCUUGGUGUCUUAGAAAUUGUCAUCCCAGGCACAGCAAACAUUGAUGGUAAAUUUUUUGACAUUCAGUAAUAUUCACCAAUUCACUGAUUUGCAUAAACUAAUAUGGCUAUUGGAUUAAUUCUUAAUAGCUGUGUUGCAUGCUGCCACAGUAGCAUGAACAGAUAAUCAGACCAUUGAUAUGGUUUAUAUUGAAGAUUCUUUAAGCUCAAGCUCAUUAGGAGAUACUGAAGGUACAUCAGAGUCCGAUGACACAGCAAUGUUGAUUAGAAGCCCUCCUGAAAAAAAUCAAGCUGAGGAACGUCGUCUUGCCAAGGUAAGGAUCACCAAUCUUGGCUCUGAAUUAUAUCUAUAUAGAAUGACUUAAAAAAUUAAAAUAUUUGGAGCUAUAUACACUUGUCAGUUGGUAAUUUAUAAUCCCUGCACAACAUCGCAUCAUUCCCCCUCCAGAUGAUUGAAGAUAUCCUAAAGACCAGCCCUGGAGGUGAAAAGGUCAUAAACGAAUAUGCCCGCACCAAAGGUCUGUCAGAUGCCCGAAGACGUGACAUGGUGAAAAUCUUGGUAGCACAUUUGACAAAUGAACAUGGGUAAGUUGUCCAUACAUUACUUCGUAAAUUGUUGUUUAUGAUGUUAUGGGUUAUAAUUAUAAUUGCUUUGGUUUGUGUGUGUGUGUGUAGAACAAGCCCUUCCCGACAUUUGAAGGAAGAAUAUGCAAAGGGAAUCAUUUCCCUAUUCCCAUGCUUGGCUGACCCCAGAAGCAAGCUUGGAUAUGUAAGUAGCAGUUGCCUCUCAAUAUUUUUGAUUUACAGGAGGAGACAUUCUGUAUAUUGCAAAGUAAAGAAUAUCUUCAUUAUAAUUGAUAUGGCAUUCAUUGCCUUAAUCUGGUAAUGUAUAACUACUAGGUCUGUUUAUUGUUCUGGCAAUAGGAGCAUUAUUACAAUGCAGAAGAUGGAAGUGGAUAUUUGGCGUGGCGAAUUAAAACUCUGCAGAAAGAAGCAUCAGAGGGACGGAUGAAGCGCCCACGGCAACCACAAACAGGUGCAAGAUUUGAUGUUAAGUCCAUGCUUUUAUU
ensembl:lncRNA